AGAUCCCUGAAAGAUGAUCAGGUUGAUAGGUCUGAGGUGGAAGUGUGGCGACACAUGGAGCUGACAGAUACUAAUCGAUCGAGGACUUAACCUAA
rnacentral:rRNA from 1 species